rnacentral:lncRNA from 1 species
CUUCAAACAAGGAAGCUUCAUGUUAUAUGGAAUAGUCCAUUUGCGAAAACAUAAUAAUUUGUCAUCUGUGAUAAUUCUCCUCCCUGUAUCCAUACCCUGAGGUAAUCCUCUCACACAAUGGCUCUGGGCUUGGUCAUAUAAAAAUUGUUUUGAUCAAUGAGACAUUAGGAAAUGGGAUUCAAGUGGAUUCUUGAGAAGUGGAUAAGCACAUGUUCUCUGGAGUUCUUAGACCAUUGUAUGAAGAAACCCAAGUGAGCCUGCUAAAGAUUGAGAAACCACAUGGAAGAAACACAAACUGCCACAACAGAAGCUCAUAAAGACUAACCAGCCUUCCAACCACCAGUGAUCUGAAUGAAGUUAUCCUUAAUCAACCUGUUGAGAGCAGACUUGCCAACUGACUAUAGGCCAUGAGAGAACUUUGCAGCGAUAAGCAAAGCUGGUUCAGACCAGAAGAAUUACAGUGAUGAUCCACAGACAUCUUCACUAGGAUUUAUCUUGGUGUUUGUUAUGUCAUUUUUGUCUUGGACAACAUGUACCCACUGAAUCUGAAGAUUCAAGACUUAUGAGAAACUUUCAGGAAACUGAAGGCAGAAGAGAGGCUAAGUAACUUUUUCAAGAUCACACAGCUAAUAAAUGGCAAGGUCUGGAUUUAAACCCAACUGCCUGAUUCCAGAAUCCAGCCUGCUUCAUGCAGUACAGUCUAUCCUAAUGAGGAAGUGUAUUGGCAUCUCCUCUCUAAGCCAGUCAGUCAGCUGGCUUACUCCAGGGAUAUCUGCAUUUGGCAAGUUCUAGACUAUUUAGACAGUCCCCCACCAUUUGGAAGUCACUGUCCAGUGAAAGGAUAACAGAGUGGGUUUCAACCAUUGUGGCACUGCAUGCUUCUGAGGAAGAGAAAGGAGGUGGACGGAGGAGAUGGAAAGACAAAGGUAGCAGAUUAAAAAGGAAACAGAUAAUCAGAGAAAGCUGAUGCAGAUGGAUGGAAGCACGGUUUGCUCCUGCUACUACAGGACAUGCUAAGGGAAGUAGAGUAUAAUUGGCUGUAUCCCCUGACUUCAGUCUUCCCUGGAUGCAACUUUCCAGGUUUCCUCAAAUUCUAGGCUCACCAUAGCACGAGAAGAGAAGAGAUCACAUGGUGCGCAGGUGCCUAAGCAGUUACCCUCCUCUCCUCAAAGGGGAAGCUACCUGAAGCAGUUUGAUCAGCAUUCUUAACUCGUUACUACUGCUAAAAAUUAAAUGUUUUAAUGGCAGACACUCUGACUCCAGACAUUGUAAUUAAAGAUCACCGUUGAUUCAAGAGGUCCUAACCUCAGCAGGCUGCAUCAGUAUCUUCUGUCUGAAGAAGUUGCUUUCUUUUCAUCAAACACAUUCCAGAAGUCAGCGGUAAAAGCACUGACGGGGGAGAGCAGAUUGAUCCAUUAACUCUCACCCAGUUCCUUGGCUGAACCCUCGCUUCACAUUCCAGUUUUAGAGAUUUGAUGAGAUUUCUUCUGGAAAGACAAGAAACUGGACUGCGGAAAUGGAUGUUUUCACACCAUCUUCAGUUAGUGGUAAGGUGAAGCCCCUACUAAAGAUAUGGCUUCUGGCUCUCAAUGCACCAUUAACCGGUGAGUGAUGUGUCCCUUGUCAGGUGACUUGCAAGCUACAUGUGGAUUGAUUUCCUUCAUGAUUCCACAGAAUCCUAGAACAGGGGGUGUCUUCAGAGGCCCAGAGAAAUUGAGAGUGUUGCCAAGAUUAGUGAAAUAACAGUGCCAGAGGAGACUCUGGUUCUCCAGGUAGCAAGCUCAGAGCUUGUUCCACUACCAUCCGUCUCCACACCACAUCCCCCACCUGCAGUGCUCCCGGCUGGUAGCUCCACGGUCUCUUGCCUGGACCACUGCCACAGCCUCCUAACUGGUCUUCCUGCUUCUAACCCUGAAUAUCCUCAACAACAGCAGCCAUCCCAUUAUAACUCCUGGGAUCAAGACCUGAGGUCAAUGAAAUCUGUACUAACUGCGUCACAGAGUAGAAAGAUCAGAUGAGUUGGGACAACACUUUGACAUGUGGAAGACCGUUGUUUUUAUCACUAACCCGAAAGUUAAAUAAAAUAAACCUGCUUGAAAACAGGAGGAGGCUACUUGGCAUCGCCACGGUUUUCAUGGGAGCCUUUCAACACUCAUCAGUUCCUCCCUUAAUUUCCUCUUCUGUGAUCACCUCUAGUGCUAAAAGGACAUAGGCUUUGCAGAAAGGGCAGCUGGCCCAGGCCUUCCAACAGGGCAAAGUAGCAUCAGGAAACAAAACUGAAUACUGCCAUCUACUGGGAGAAAAAGGCACACUGUGGAGAAAGCUCAUUAAACCAGGGAGGAAGAAAGUAACUGAAAGAGACAAAAGAUACCAUUUAUAAGCAGAGCUCCUAAUUAGGGGGGAUCACUGGAAAGAUGAAAGAAAAUAAAGGUGCAGGGGCAUGGUGGAAGCAGAAAACGUGAUGUGUAAACUUAACUGGUACUUAAGGGGCACCGUUCCCACUCACUUCAUUUUUCAAGGGAAAAACAGAAGCCCAAGAGAUUUGAGCAAAUUGCUUGCUGUCGCUACUAAGUAACACCAACACUAAACCUUUGGCUCAAUUCGUGAUGCAUUGAUUGAUAUUACACUUUCAAACAAGCAAGCACAUAAUCAAAUGCAGAGACCAUUGUAUCUAUAUUUUUGGUUGCUUGGGAAUCUAUGCAUCUACCUAUCUAUCUACCUACCUACCUACCUAC